rnacentral:rRNA from 1 species
AGUCCCAAUCGCCAGUCCCACCUUCGACGGCUCCCUCCCNCAAGGGGUUAGGCCACCGGCUUCGGGUGUUACCAACUUUCGUGACUUGACGGGCGGUGUGUACAAGGCCCGGGAACGUAUUCACCGCAGCGUUGCUGAUCUGCGAUUACUAGCGACUCCGACUUCAUGGGGUCGAGUUGCAGACCCCAAUCCGAACUGAGACCGGCUUUUUGGGAUUAGCUCCACCUCACAGUAUCGCAACCCUUUGUACCGGCCAUUGUAGCAUGCGUGAAGCCCAAGACAUAAGGGGCAUGAUGAUUUGACGUCGUCCCCACCUUCCUCCGAGUUGACCCCGGCAGUCUCCCAUGAGUCCCCGCCAUUACGCGCUGGCAACAUGGAACGAGGGUUGCGCUCGUUGCGGGACUUAACCCAACAUNUNACGACACGAGCUGACGACAACCAUGCACCACCUGUGAACCGGCCCCAAAAGGAGAAACCACAUCUCUGCGGCGGNCCGGUCCAUGUCAAGCCUUUGGUAANGGUCUUCGCGUUGCAUCGAAUUAAUUCCGCAUGCUUCCGCCGCUUGUGCGGGG